CAAGAGGACUGUCACUGUGGACA
rnacentral:piRNA from 1 species